AGCCUCUUUCUAGAUGAGAAUGGGCACUGUCGAUCAUGGGGUCUGAAAAUUCUAAGUGGCUAAAUUGAAACACAGGUUGUGCUUCCAUAACAGUAUAUGUAUUGCAGUGGCGACAAUGAGACCUGUAACAUUU
ensembl:snoRNA